AUGUCUGUAUCGGAAUGUGUAACUGUAACCAGCGGCUGUAAGAGGGGGUGGGGACAGACACACACCCUCUGCUGCCUGUUCCUGGGUGAGGAAAAGCCACAGAUGAGAUCAAACCAGAAGCCUAGCGAGGUGCUACUAGGGGCUGCUGGGUUCGUCUCACUGUUAGAAAAGUGCUGGAUACCUUUGAAAGCCAUACCUCUUUCCGGGCAGAGAACAUGCCUUAACCUCAACGUGAGGGGAUGAACAUCUAUACUGAACUUGAGAGCAGGAGGAGCUAAUCAAAUGCCCACAGGAGCCAGGCAGUGACAGCUUGAGUGAAGCAGAUGGGCUUCGGGGACAGCCGGGAUUGUGGAGAGGCUGAGGUGGAGCCAGAGCCCGUGUACAUCUGUGAGCAGCCUGAUAUGCUGCUUAGGGAAUGUGGGCCCGGAAUUUGCAAGAGAAGCUGGAACUCUGGUUUCUGUAUGAUUCUUUUUCAUUUGAAAAUGUUGACCGCUACGGACUUGCCUAUGGUUCUGCCACAGCUUGCUUGUCUCGGAUUGUAAUUCUCUAUUCUUGAAUAAACCUGUUUCGCUGGUUUUAAAAAAAAUUGACCAUUAAUUCCAUUUUUAUUUUUAAAGAUUUAUUUAUUUUAGAGAGAGA
rnacentral:lncRNA from 1 species